CCGCCCGAGCCACAUCCUUCGCCGCCACCUUCUCCGCAUCCACCACCCCCUCCUCCCGCGGCCUCCUCCGCCGUCCCUUCCCCGGGACCCCCGCCCCCCGCCGCGCCGUCGCCUCGAUGGCCGUGUCCGCUCCCAGGUCGGCGGCCGCCGCCUCGUUCCUCGAGCGCCGCGAGUCCGAGCGCGCGCUCCACUUCGUCAAGUACCAGGGCCUCGGCAACGACUUCAUCAUGCUUUAAAAUUCAUACUGGUGCUGGAUUAAUCAUUCCUGAAAUACAAAAUGAUGGCAAGGAGGACAAGGAGGUGGAGAAGGACAAGGAAGUGGAGAAGGACAAGGAAGUGGCGAAGGUUGAUGUUGCUUGUGUAUGAACUUGUUGUGCGACUUGGAACAUUCUAUGUUGGAGACUUUGUUGUUGAUGUUGCUUGUAUGAAAUAAUUAUGCGACUUGGAACUAUUGUAUGGACAUUGUUGGACUACUCGUGUAUGAACUUUGUUGUUGAUGAUGCAAAUACUCUAUAUAUUGUGCUA